CACGUUCAAGUAUUUUAGUACAGAUGUGAAAUGAAACUUUGGAGACGUGGCAGACUGAGGUUUAACAGUGCUCUUUUACAGCAUGCUGUGGUAGUACAGCCCCUUAAAGAUCUGAAUAAUUGUAUGAAACCACACCAGCUGUGUAUAUUACAGAGGUGCACAAACGUAUUUGCGCUGCAGAGCAUGCAAGCACUUCAGUAAUGCAUCUUAAACCACCAAGCCUGCAAAGCUACAGUAUGUGCCGGAACGAGAAACUCAAGAAACCCUUUUCGUUCUCAGUUCUUCUGAUGAAUUUACAAACGUAGAGUGGAGAAGAAGAGUCACCCGCUGUGUUCUAUUUGUAUUAUAAUACUUUUUUUUUAUUGCUGUAUGAGAAGUUACAGUACAGAUGCUAGAUCAUCUUUUGACUGAAGUCUGCAGAGGAGGUGGACAUGGAUAAAGUGACCGCCGCCAUGGUCCUGACCAGCCUGUCCACCAGCCCGCUCGUCCGCAGUCCUCCGGUCAGACUUGGUGAAGGCGCCAACGGCUCCUGGAAGGAAGGGGGAUUCAUGCCCUCCAGCCACAGCAGCAGUGGCUAUUGGAGCUGGAGUGCCCCCAGCGACCAGUCCAACCCCUCCACCCCCUCCCCGCCCC